GGAUGGAUUGGAGUCUGCAACUCGACUCCAUGAAGUCGGAAUCGCUAGUAAUCGUGGAUCAGAAUGCCACGGUGAAUACGUUCCCGGGCCUUGUACACACCGCCCGUCACACCAUGGGAGUGGGUUGCAAAAGAAGUAGGUAGCUUAACCUUCGGGAGGGCGCUUACCACUUUGUGAUUCAUGACUGGGGUGAAGUCGUAACAAGGUAACCGUAGGGGAACCUGCGGUUGGAUCACCUCCUUA
rnacentral:rRNA from 1 species